GCCCGGCUAGCUCAGGGGUAGAGCGGCUGUUUUGUAAACAGCGGGUCGCGGGUUCAAAUCCUGCGCUGGGCUCCA
rnacentral:tRNA from 1 species